AUGGGGCCCAUCCACGGGGUCCAUCCGUGGGGCCCAUCGGUGGGGCGCACCUCGUUUGAUCCAGACGUGGUGUCGGAAGCGCGGCGGCAUGCUGGCCAGGAAGCGCGACCCGUCGGCCGUCUCCACCUCGUGCAGAUUAUUCCCGGGGCUGCCCAGCACCCUGACGAUGCGCUGCUGCGGGGCGGGCACCACGUGCUCCUCCAGCACCUCCCGGGUCACGUGUUUCCGCUUGGUGGCGCGCGACAUGGCGGGACGGGAACGGCCCCGAGCCGGUGCGGCGCCGCUCCCUCCGCAACGAGCUCCUUCCGCUUCCGGCUGCGUGGCGUCACUUCCGCCGCAGGGCGGGAGGAGGAGGGGCUACGCCCGGAUUGGCUGCGCGUGCCCUGCGUGCC
rnacentral:lncRNA from 1 species